rnacentral:rRNA from 1 species
AGCAGCCGCGGUAAUUCCAGCUCCAAUAGCGUAUAUUAAAGUUGUUGCAGUUAAAAACUCGUAGUUGAAUUUCGGGAUCAAUAUGUUUGGUCGUGCCUCGGUACGUACUAGCUUAUUGGUUUCUCCUUUCUGAAGAACCAUGAUGUCAUUCAUUUGGUGUCGUGGGGAAUCAGGACUGUUACUUUGAAAAACUUAGAGUGUUUAAAGCAGGCUCACGCUUGAAUACAUUAGCAUGGAAUAAUGAAAUAGGACGUUUGAUUCUAUUUUGUGGUUUCUAGGAUCGACGUAAUGAUUAAUAGGGAUAGUUGGGGGCAUUAGUAUUCAAUUGUCAGAGGUUGAAAUUCUUGGGAUUU